AUUGAACGCUAGCGGCAUGCUUUACACAUGCAAGUCGAACGAGUGGCGGACGGGUGAGUAAUAUAUGGGAACGUGCCCAGUAGCGGGGGCUAACUACUCGAAAGAGUGGCUAAUACCGCAUACCAUCGGAGAGGCCGAGAUCGGAUUAGCUGGUUGGUGGGGUAAAGGCUCACCAAGGCAAAGAUCCCUAGCUGGUCUGAGAGGACGACCAGCCACCCUGGAACUGAGACACGGCCCAGACUCCUACGGGAGGCAGCAGUGGGGAAUUUUGGACAAUGGGGGCAAGCCUGAUCCAGCCAUCCCGCGUGUAUGAGAAGGCCUUCGGGUUGUAAAGUACUUUUGGCGGAGAAGCGUUAUCUGCAGAAUAAGCACCGGCUAACUACGUGCCAGCCGCCGCGGUAAUAC
rnacentral:rRNA from 1 species